rnacentral:rRNA from 1 species
UCAAAAACAUAGCCUUUAGCCCUACAAGUAUUAAAGGUCCCGCCUGCCCAGUGACCCGCUUUUUAACGGCCGCGGUAUCCUAACCGUGCAAAGGUAGCAUAAUCACUUGUCCUCUAAAUAAGGACUAGAAUGAACGGCUAAAUGAAGACUAAACUGUCUCUUGCAGGCCACCUAUAAAACUGAUCUCCUAGUUAAAAAGCUAGGAUUCUAACACAAGACGAGAAGACCCUGUGGAGCUUAUAAACCAAACUCAUAACAUGACCCCCUGGUUUUUAGUUGGGGCGACUUCGGAGUACAAAAAACCCUCCGACUAACUACCCGCAGAUAAACAUAUCAAAUACUUUCCGACCCAGUAACUAAAUGCUAACUGACUAACGAACCAAGUUACCCCAGGGAUAACAGCGCUAUCCUCUUUUAGAGUUCUUAUCGACAGGAGGGCUUACGACCUCGAUGUUGGAUCAGGACAUCCCAAUAGUGCAGCCGCUAUUAAUGGUUCGUUUGUUCAACGAUUAAAGUCCUACGUGAUCUGA